rnacentral:snRNA from 1 species
CUGUUCACUUGGGCAGCACAUACACUAAAAUUGGAAUGAUACAGAGAAGAUUAGAAUGGCUCCCAUGCACACGCAAAUUUGUGAAGCAUUCCAUAUUUUA